UUUCAUCAGUAGGACCGGGAUUCUGCUCGACGUCUCCGCACAACGUCAAAAACAAGGCACAGAAAGGAUCAAGCAGAACACUGGGGCAUGGAAGCACAACAAUGCAUCGGUUGUCUGAUCGAAGAGACUUAACAGGUGGUAAUGAACUGCAACUAACCUGCGUAACGAUGAAUAAGAAGCGCGAGUGCCACAUUUUGGUUGUGCGUCCAUGCCCACUGGUGAUAAGAUCCGUUGGAUGGGCUCUUAAAGGAUCCGGCAGGUGAGAAGUCGAUGUCGCUGUGGCUGUGACACUCCGAGGAAAGGCAAACUGUGGGAAAUGGGACGUGGCACUGCUGACCGUCAGCAGCGAGAGCGGUCGUGCGCCACCAACACACCAGUCAGGGGUGUCGCAUGAGGGUCCCUUGUCGAAACCACCAUCCGUCGAAACCGUGAACGCGGCGCCGUCCGCGCAGCCGGCAAAUCCAACGAAACCAAGAAGCUGCGUAACGAUGAAUAAGAAGCCUGAGUGCCACAUUUUGGUUGUGCGUCCAUGCCCACAGGCGA